rnacentral:rRNA from 1 species
UACGUAGGCAGCAAGCGUUGUUCGGAAUUACUGGGCGUAAAGAGUGUGUAGGCGGUGCUCUAAGUUCGGUGUGAAAUCUCCCGGCUCAACUGGGAGGGUGCGCCGAAUACUGAAUGACUUGGAGUGCGGGAGAGGAAAGUGGAAUUCCUGGUGUAGCGGUGAAAUGCGUAGAUAUCAGGAGGAACACCGGUGGUGUAGACGGCUUUCUGGACCGUAACUGACGCUGAGACACGAAAGCGUGGGUAGCAAACAGG